CUUUUUUUUUUUAAGCAUAGAUCUAAGAAAUUAUUAAACUAUUUUCUUGUGGUGUAAGAAUAAUCAAUACAUCAUUCAAUAUAGGCCUACUUUGAGUAUUUAUUUAGUUUUAAUGGAUUUAUUAUUAUUAGCAUUUUUUUUGCAACAACAACAUUUAUUUUAAAAAGUUACAGGAAACUAUAAAUCUUGUAGCAUAACAAAUAUACAAUACUUAAUUCAAGAUGUAUUCUCUGAAAAGUAUUUAUGUUAUUUUAAUGGAAACAACAAAAUACUGAUUUGAAGAAGUUUUUUUUGUUUGUUUGUUUGUUUGUUUGUUUUUUUGCAGUGAUACAACAACAUGUUUAAAUAACAUGACAUUUAUUUCCAGACUGUAAACAACUCAGAAACCCGAGCAACCAGUAGAAACAUAACAAUUAAUAUGAAACACAUCUGUUUGUAAUAUAUAAUCUAAUGUGACAGUUUCUGUGGAGAGGAUCACAGGUACGGUGGAGGAUAGAGCGCAUGUAAACACAUUCCAGCAUGCGUGCGCUCAUCGCUCCAGCUGUAAGCUAGCGGGCGGCUCUGUGCCCAGAAAGCUCACAUUGAUCUGUGCUGGGAAUUCCAUGCUUAUACAUGCAGCUCCAAAGCCAGCGGUCCAUGCCAAUCAUUCUGACUGGAUGUCCUGCUCCAACGCCUGCUCACAGCGUGUCAAAACCUCUGUCACAAAGACUCUGAUUGAUGAAGCUCCCUUAAAUAUCUUUGUGUGUGUACCCAGAUCUCUCUGAAAUCAUAGCUAGACUGCUGAUCUCAUGAUGAGGGCCUGCAGAAAAACAUCAGUUACCAGGAACAGGCGUCAGUUUUCUACUUUUCAUGCUUCCUCAUUUCAUAAAUGUCAAAGGAGCUGUGGAUGAGAAGGGGGAAACUUUCGGUGCAUUCCAAAUGGGAUAUAUCACCCUCAGAAGGGCACUUCGGAGUGAAAACAUUCAUGGCCGCCAUAUUGAAGGGUCGUUCCAAACUGAAGGGCUCAAAACUGGUCACUUCAAAGGGUCCUUUGGAAUGAAGGAUUUCAAAGAGUACAACUGAUGGACACUUCGGGCUCCCGUGACCCUUUGCGCAGAUUCUUUGCAUGAUGACGGCGCCUCCGUGUGGACACGUGAUGAUGACGCAGAAGGGCACUUCAAGAAACAGUUGUUUGAUCCCCUACACCCUUCAACCCUUUGAAGCUCUCACUCCGGAGGGUAAACCAUUUGAAGGGAUUAGGGCGUAGGGAUGAGCCCUUCCGAAUGGAACUCAGAGUUUGUUUUAGAUAAGAUAGCUCUAUAGAUGUUAUUUUCCGCCAUUUACCUUUUAUCACUCUUUCUUUUCCUCAAAAGACUGUUUGUGAUCGGCGAAAAUAGUUGUUUGUCUAAACGACGGGACAUUUCUCAUCCGUUAGCUAACGUUAGCUUUCUCACUCAUCUGCAGCGGACAUAACCGCGCUUGAACCCCAAAAAAGCUAUUUCGACUGAGAUUAUUUUUGUCUUUUCCUUUUUCUUUUUCACUCAAUGUUGUUUGUGAGGAGUGUAAAUAAAUUUUACUCAUACAGCA
ensembl:lncRNA